rnacentral:misc_RNA from 1 species
GUUUGUAAAUGGACGUAGAUCUAAUGUUAUUAAUGUGAUAGAAAAGUAACCUAAAGUGUAGCACGAUGAAUAUACGUGUAAAACAACCAGUAAUUAUUGGAAACUGUUAUAGAGGGCAACCUAAUCGACUAUGGGAGGUUUUUAUUUUGAAGUGGUUCCUGGUAGCUGUCGCCUGCCUUAUUGCCGCAGGUGCUGUAACAGUAUACUUGGCACACUACUUCAUGAAGACAUGCUAUACAUCAACCAAUGUCACUGGCGUAACGGCACAACACAGUGAUCUGAAUACAUACAAGGGCCAAUUACAAGACAUGGGAAAUGGUUACUCAUUAUUUAAACAAGAAGAUAUGACACAAAUAUGCAAAACUGAUGGAUUGACUGGCAGCCAACAAAUGAGAAAACAUAGUACAAAGCUUGUGUGUUAUUAUACAUUUCCAGGACCAGGUGGUUUGGUGCCAGACAAAAUCGAUCCUUUUCUUUGCACUCACAUUAACAUUGCAGGAGUUGGUAUAAAUAAUAGCAAGCUGGAACCACUUAGUGAAGAAAGACAAGAAGUCAUUAAGUCUCUUGUUGGUCUCAAAAUUCGUAACAAAAAUCUUAAAGUUAUCCUGUCUGUGAUUGGUAUGCCAGGUGGAUUUGGAGAUAUGGUUUCAAAGUCAUCAUCCAGGAGAAUGUUCAUCAAAGAUUUGUUGUGGACACUGUCAUACUAUUCAUUCGAUGGUGUUGAUUUUGACUGGGAAUUCCCCGCUUGGCCUGGUAAAAUUUCAGAACGCAAAAAAUUUAUUAUUUUUUUGAAGGAGCUGCGAGAUGCAGUUCGGAAAAGUCAACUAAACACUAUUGUGAGUGUAGCUGUCGCAGCACAAGAGACGAUUGUGGAUGUUUCAUAUGAUAUUCCUGAAAUGAACAAAUACAUUGAUUACGUAAAUCUCAUGGCAUAUGACUACCACUUUUAUACUGAGUAUACCCCAUUGACUGGGCCUAAUGCUCCAUUAUAUAGCCUUCCAAGUGACAAAGGUUACAUGUCCACACUCAACACAAAUUGGUCUUCACUUUACUGGCAUGAUAGAGGCAUGCCUAAGAACAAGAUCGUCAUUGGAAUACCAACUUAUGGCCAUUCCUUCUGGCUCAUUAAUGCUGAGAAUCAUGGUUGGUCAGCUCCUGCUUCAGGAUAUGGAAAAAUUGGAAGUAAAGGAUUUGUAAGCUAUCCAGAAGUGUGUCAGUUCCUUCAUUCCACUGGAAGUAAAUACAUUUUUGAUAAAAAUUUUGAAGUGCCCUAUGCUUACCAGGGUUUGGAGUGGAUUUCGUAUGAUGAUGAAUGCAGUGUAAUGUACAAGGGCCAUUCUGCUAAAUGGGGAAGAACUGCAGAAAAUGAUCCCUGAGGAGACAAGGAGCAAAAGAGGUCAUAUGAAUAUAUGGCUGGAAAUGCAUGGUGUCUGCACUGUAAGGCAAAGUAUAUCGCCAGUGGCUCUUAUGGAGGAGCAAUGGUAUUUUCUCUCAAUGUAGACGACCAUCAAGGUGUGUGUGCUGGUACAACAUUCUUGCUGACAACACAGAUAAGGAAUAUUCUAGGAG